CGGUGGAUGAUGUGGUUUAAUUCGAUAGCAACGCGAAAACCUUACCACCUUUGACAUGGCAGGAAUCCCGAAGAGAUUUGGGAGUGCUCGAAAGAGAACUUGCACACAGGUGCUGCAUGGCUGUCGUCAGCUCGUGUCGUGAGAUGUUGGGUUAAGUCCCGCAACGAGCGCAACCCUUGCCAUUAGUUGCUACGAAAGGGCACUCUAAAUGGGACUGCCGGUGACAAACCGGAGGGAAGGUGGGGAUGACGUCAAGUCCUCAUGGCCCUUAUAGGUGGGGCUACACACGUCAUACAAUGGCCGGUACAGAGGGUAGCCAACCCGCGAGGGGGAGCCAAUCCCACAAAAGCCGGUCGUAGUCCGGAUCGCAGUCUGCAACUCGACUGCGUGAAGUCGGAAUCGCUAGUAAUCGCGGAUCAGCAUGUCGCGGUGAAUACGUUCCCGGGUCUU
rnacentral:rRNA from 1 species